GUACCGGAUGGGAGUUAUACCGCAGUGGCCCAUAACUGUACAUUGAAGGGGAGCGGCGUCAAAUGUACAGACGGUGC
rnacentral:sRNA from 12 species